GACGAACACUGGCGGCGUGCUUAACACAUGCAAGUCGAACGAAGUGGCGAACGGGUGAGUCACGCGUACUCAACCUGCCCUUCAGAGGGGGACAACAGUUGGAACCGACUGCUAAUACCGCAUACUGAAGGAGGGGCUUGCGUCUGAUUAGCUAGUUGGAGGGGUAACGUCCCACCAAGGCGAUGACCAGUAGCCGGUCUGAGAGGAUGAACGGCAACAUGGGGACUGAGACACGGCCCAGACUCCUACGGGUGGCAGCAGUGGGGAAUCUUCCGCAAUGGACGAAAGUCUGACGUAGCAACGCCGCGUGAGUGAUGACGGCCUUCGGGUUGUAAAGCUCUGUUAAUCGGGACGCGGUACCGGAAUAGAAAGCCACGGCUAACUACGUGCCAGCAGCCGCGGUAAUUC
rnacentral:rRNA from 1 species